CUUGCCCUGGGAUCAGAACUCCAACCCUGCUCAGCAGACCCUGCUCCACCACUGAUAUUUGGUUCUCCCUCUUUCAGCCCACAUUAUGUCAACAGACCCUCCAGCACUGGCACAGUUCUGCAGCAAUGGAGCCAUGAUGGGCAGCUCCAGCCAGUGACCCACAACCACCCAGCACUGCCCAAUAACCCUAGAGGGAAGCCCAGAGUGGGUCGAAACCCUCAGAAAAGGGGCAAGAGAGAAGAGGAUGCAGAUGCCAGGGUAGAGUGCAACUCCUUGGUAAGAUCAGGAGAGAGCGCACCACCUUCAGAGCCCCAUAUCCUGCUCCCUGCAUCACCGAAACCCCCAGUGCCAUCCUGGGGCAUUGGGAUCAG
rnacentral:lncRNA from 1 species